rnacentral:rRNA from 1 species
CGUAGGUGAACCUGCGGAGGGAUCAUU